GGCUGGCAUAGCAUAGAAAUCCAAAUGGGUAGGAAAAAAAAAAAGUUUGAACAAUGCUCCCAUGCAUCCCUUCCAUAAUUUGAAGAGAGGAUUUCACAAUUUUUUGAUCAAGUAGAAAAUCCAUGUACAAAUCAAGAAAUACUUUACAUCACCCUACAUAAAACUAAAAGUCCAUCUCAACAAAGUAAAGCAUUCCAAGCAAUU
rnacentral:misc_RNA from 1 species